rnacentral:rRNA from 1 species
AUUGAACGCUGGCGGCAGGCCUAACACAUGCAAGUCGAGCGAGCGGAGGACGGGUGAGUAAUGUAUGGGGACUGCCCGAUAGAGGGGGAUAACUACUGGAAACGGUGGCUAAUACCGCAUACUAUCGGAUCACCCAUAUGGGCUUAGCUAGUAGGUGGGGUAAAGGCUCCCCUAGGCGACGAUCUCUCGCUGGUCUGAGAGGGUGGUCAGCGACCAGGGGCGUGAGACACGGCCCAGAGGCCUACGGAGGGAGCAGUGGGGAAUAGGGCGCAAUGGGCGCAAGCCUGAUGCAGCCAUGCCGCGUGUAUGGAGAAGGCCUUAGGGUUGUAAAGUACUUUCAGCGGGUAGGCGUUACCCGCAGAAGAAGCACCGGCUAACUCCGUGCCAGCGGCCGCGGUAAUUC